rnacentral:lncRNA from 10 species
GAUAAACAGAGCAGAAGCGGAAAGGAGAUGAGAGAGGGCCCCAGGCCCCUGUGACUCAGCCCAGAGACCUGGCGCAACCCGGGCUUGGGAAUCCCGUUAACCCACUUCCCGAAAGCUGUGAAUCAGAUAAGGAAACUGAGGCAGCUUAGGGCGGUUAAGUGACUUGCCCGAGAUUGCUGGGUGAGUGGUGGAGCCGGACCUGCACCCCAACACUGGGGGUGGCUGCUGGGACUGCCCUCAUGGAGGCUUCGGGAGCCUGGAGGAG